rnacentral:rRNA from 1 species
AUGGAGGCCUGUAUCGUAAUAAGGAGCUUACGGCACCUAGCUAGGCACCCGACGAGUUUGUGCUCUCUCAUCUUCAGAGCUUUGGCUGAUCUGAUGGGACUUUCCCCCAGUGUACUCAGCAAAUUCAGAGGAGACCCGCCGCCCAUGGAGAAUAUGCUGGAGCCGGAGCCGGAGCUGCCACCGGAUAUGCUGUCGAGCAUCUUUGCCCUCCUCGAGGUCCCUGACCUCGUGCGCGCAGGCUCUGUCUGCUCCUCCUGGCGCUCGGUGUACACCGCACUACGCAGUCAGCUUCUGAAGCACAAACAGCGCCAGACGCCUUGCCUCCUCUACCACACCUCUGAAUCUGCCGGAGAGAAUGCAGCUUGCCUCUACAGCCUUGCGGAAAAGAGGGCCUACAAGUUAACCCUCCCGGAUCCACCGAUCCACAGUAGGUAUCUGAUUGGCUCUUCGCAUGGUUGGCUGAUCACUUCUGAUGAGAGGUCUGAGCUGCACCUUGUAAAUCCAAUCACUGGUGAACAGAUUGUUCUCCCAUCAGUGAAUUAG